AUGCUUUGGCAGCACAUAUACUAAAAUUGAAACGAUACAGAGAAGAUUAGCAUGACCUCUGUGCAAGGAUGACACGCAAUUUGUGAAGUGUUCUAUAUUUUU
rnacentral:snRNA from 1 species